rnacentral:rRNA from 1 species
AGUGAACGCUGGCGGUAGGCCUAACACAUGCAAGUCGAACGGCAGCACAGUAAGAGCUUGCUCUUACGGGUGGCGAGUGGCGGACGGGUGAGGAAUACAUCGGAAUCUACUUUUUCGUGGGGGAUAACGUAGGGAAACUUACGCUAAUACCGCAUACGACCUACGGGUGAAAGCAGGGGAUCUUCGGACCUUGCGCGAUUGAAUGAGCCGAUGUCGGAUUAGCUAGUUGGCGGGGUAAAGGCCCACCAAGGUGACGAUCCGUAGCUGGUCUGAGAGGAUGAUCAGCCACACUGGAACUGAGACACGGUCCAGACUCCUACGGGAGGCAGCAGUGGGGAAUAUUGGACAAUGGGCGCAAGCCUGAUCCAGCCAUACUGCGUGGGUGAAGAAGGCCUUCGGGUUGUAAAGCCCUUUUGUUGGGAAAGAAAAGCAGCAGGUUAAUACCCCGCUGUUCUGACGGUACCCAAAGAAUAAGCACCGGCUAACUUCGUG